UGGCGGCGUGCUUAACACAUGCAAGUCGAACGGAAAGGCCCUUCGGGGUACUCGAGUGGCGAACGGGUGAGUAACACGUGGGUGAUCUGCCCUGCACUUUGGGAUAAGCCUGGGAAACUGGGUCUAAUACCGGAUAGGACCACGCGCUUCAUGGUGUGUGGUGGAAAGCUUUUGCGGUGUGGGAUGGGCCCGCGGCCUAUCAGCUUGUUGGUGGGGUAAUGGCCUACCAAGGCGACGACGGGUAGCCGGCCUGAGAGGGUGACCGGCCACACUGGGACUGAGAUACGGCCCAGACUCCUACGGGAGGCAGCAGUGGGGAAUAUUGCACAAUGGGCGCAAGCCUGAUGCAGCGACGCCGCGUGAGGGAUGACGGCCUUCGGGUUGUAAACCUCUUUCAAUAGGGACGAAGCGCAAGUGACGGUACCUAUAGAAGAAGGACCGGCCAACUACGUGCCAGCAGCCGCGGUAAUACGUAGGGUCCGAGCGUUGUCCGGAAUUACUGGGCGUAAAGAGCUCGUAGGUGGUUUGUCGCGUUGUUCGUGAAAACUCACAGCUUAACUGUGGGCGUGCGGGCGAUACGGGCAGACUAGAGUACUGCAGGGGAGACUGGAAUUCCUGGUGUAGCGGUGGAAUGCGCAGAUAUCAGGAGGAACACCGGUGGCGAAGGCGGGUCUCUGGGCAGUAACUGACGCUGAGGAGCGAAAGCGUGGGGAGCGAACAGGAUUAGAUACCCUGGUAGUCCACGCCGUAAACGGUGGGUACUAGGUGUGGGUUUCCUUCCUUGGGAUCCGUGCCGUAGCUAACGCAUUAAGUACCCCGCCUGGGGAGUACGGCCGCAAGGCUAAAACUCAAAGGAAUUGACGGGGGCCCGCACAAGCGGCGGAGCAUGUGGAUUAAUUCGAUGCAACGCGAAGAACCUUACCUGGGUUUGACAUGCACAGGACGCCAGUAGAGAUAUUGGUUCCCUUGUGGCCUGUGUGCAGGUGGUGCAUGGCUGUCGUCAGCUCGUGUCGUGAGAUGUUGGGUUAAGUCCCGCAACGAGCGCAACCCUUGUCUCAUGUUGCCAGCACGUUAUGGUGGGGACUCGUGAGAGACUGCCGGGGUCAACUCGGAGGAAGGUGGGGAUGACGUCAAGUCAUCAUGCCCCUUAUGUCCAGGGCUUCACACAUGCUACAAUGGCCGGUACAAAGGGCUGCGAUGCCGUGAGGUGGAGCGAAUCCUUUCAAAGCCGGUCUCAGUUCGGAUCGGGGUCUGCAACUCGACCCCGUGAAGUCGGAGUCGCUAGUAAUCGCAGAUCAGCAACGCUGCGGUGAAUACGUUCCCGGGCCUUGUACACACCGCCCGUCACGUCAUGAAAGUCGGUAACACCCGAAGCCGGUGGCCUAACCCUUGUGGAGGGAGCCGUCGAAGGUGGGAUCGGCGAUU
rnacentral:rRNA from 2 species